CCUACGGGUGGCAGCAGUGAGGAAUAUUGGUCAAUGGGCGAGAGCCUGAACCAGCCAAGUCGCGUGAGGGAGUACUGCCCUAUGGGUUGUAAACCUCUUUUGUCGGGGAGCAAAAGCCGGACGUGUCCGGCUGUGAGAGUACCCGAAGAAAAAGCAUCGGCUAACUCCGUGCCAGCAGCCGCGGUAAUACGGAGGAUGCGAGCGUUAUCCGGAUUUAUUGGGUUUAAAGGGUGCGCAGGCGGAUGUUUAAGUCAGCGGUAAAAUCGUGGGGCUCAACCCCAUCCAGCCGUUGAAACUGGGGAUCUAGAGUGUGCGAGAGGUAUGCGGAAUGCGUGGUGUAGCGGUGAAAUGCAUAGAUAUCACGCAGAACCCCGAUUGCGAAGGCAGCAUACCGGUGCACAACUGACGCUCAGGCACGAAAGCGUGGGUAUCGAACAGGAUUAGAUACCCUAGUAGUC
rnacentral:rRNA from 1 species